rnacentral:rRNA from 1 species
GACGAACGCUGGCGGCGUGCUUAACACAUGCAAGUCGAACGGAAAGGCCCUGCUUUUGUGGGGUGCUCGAGUGGCGAACGGGUGAGUAACACGUGAGUAACCUGCCCUUGACUUUGGGAUAACUUCAGGAAACUGGGGCUAAUACCGGAUAGGAGCUCCUGCUGCAUGGUGGGGGUUGGAAAGUUUCGGCGGUUGGGGAUGGACUCGCGGCUUAUCAGCUUGUUGGUGGGGUAGUGGCUUACCAAGGCUUUGACGGGUAGCCGGCCUGAGAGGGUGACCGGCCACAUUGGGACUGAGAUACGGCCCAGACUCCUACGGGAGGCAGCAGUGGGGAAUAUUGCACAAUGGGCGGAAGCCUGAUGCAGCAACGCCGCGUGCGGGAUGACGGCCUUCGGGUUGUAAACCGCUUUCGCCUGUGACGAAGCGUGAGUGACGGUAAUGGGUAAAGAAGCACCGGCUAACUACGUGCCAGCAGCCGCGGUGAUACGUAGGGUGCGAGCGUUGUCCGGAUUUAUUGGGCGUAAAGGGCUCGUAGGUGGUUGAUCGCGUCGGAAGUGUAAUCUUGGGGCUUAACCCUGAGCGUGCUUUCGAUACGGGUUGACUUGAGGAAGGUAGGGGAGAAUGGAAUUCCUGGUGGAGCGGUGGAAUGCGCAGAUAUCAGGAGGAACACCAGUGGCGAAGGCGGUUCUCUGGGCCUUUCCUGACGCUGAGGAGCGAAAGCGUGGGGAGCGAACAGGCUUAGAUACCCUGGUAGUCCACGCUGUAAACGGUGGGUACUAGGUGUGGGGUCCAUUCCACGGGUUCCGUGCCGUAGCUAACGCUUUAAGUACCCCGCCUGGGGAGUACGGCCGCAAGGCUAAAACUCAAAGGAAUUGACGGGGCCCCGCACAAGCGGCGGAGCAUGCGGAUUAAUUCGAUGCAACGCGUAGAACCUUACCUGGGUUUGACAUGGAUCGGGAGUGCUCAGAGAUGGGUGUGCCUCCUUUGGGGUCGGUUCACAGGUGGUGCAUGGCUGUCGUCAGCUCGUGUCGUGAGAUGUUGGGUUAAGUCCCGCAACGAGCGCAACCCUUGUUCACUGUUGCCAGCACGUUAUGGUGGGGACUCAGUGGAGACCGCCGGGGUCAACUCGGAGGAAGGUGGGGAUGACGUCAAGUCAUCGUGCCCCUUAUGUCCAGGGCUUCACGCAUGCUACAAUGGCUGGUACAGAGAGUGGCGAGCCUGUGAGGGUGAGCGAAUCUCGGAAAGCCGGUCUCAGUUCGGAUUGGGGUCUGCAACUCGACCUCAUGAAGUCGGAGUCGCUAGUAAUCGCAGAUCAGCAACGCUGCGGUGAAUACGUUCCCGGGGCU